rnacentral:lncRNA from 1 species
CAUUUAUUAGGCCAAGGUCCCCAGGACCUAAUCACUUCCCCAAAUCUAUAACCCUGUCGGGGGAAAUCUCACAUUUAGAUAACACCAAAUCAAGGAAAUAAAAAUCCCCCCCAAGGCACCUUUGCAUUUGUAGGCAAGCAUCUCCCUUUCACUAACCUCAGCCCUGCCAGGCGUGCUUGCUGUCACGCCAUCAAAACUUAGAUAUGCCUGAUGUCUCUAGAUGAAAGCCAUAGUCGGCACCCGUGGUGUCACAGAAUACUGUUUGUCACCAAACUGAUGUUUCUGUGUUCUCCCCUCGUGUUCACACAGCUUCUCUGGGUUCUAAAGCCACAGCAAGGAAGAGAAACAAAGUGGACAGGUAUGUGAGCCUCCCCAAGAGGGAAAGCCAUAGAAGAAUUUAAAGUAUCAAAGCCAGGUUGGAGAGCUGGCUCAGUGGUUACGAGCAUAUAUUGCUCUUGUGGAGGAUCUGAUGACUUCAAUUCUCAGAUGCAGCAUACCCCAGCCUGGUAAUUUAGCUGCUACUUUCUCUGUGAAAUCACAGUUUCCUUCCACCCCAAAAGGAAAAACAAAACAAGCAAACAGUCAAAACCCAGGUUAGAGUCAACAGCACACAGAAUAAUGUAUCACCCCCGCCCCCAAGGCACCCAUGUUUCAACUCCUAUAACCAGUGCCGCAAAGGGAUGGUUCCCGAAUGGCUGAGGACUCAUCAGCUAGGUUAACCUGAACUUGCAAGCUUGCCCCUGCGUCUCAGGACCCUAAAGGCAAGCAGAAGAGAUGGAGUAUACAUGAUGAUGAAUGCAGAGGACGGAGCAGCGCAGGGCUGGCUUUGAAUGUGGAGGGAGGGGCCAGGAGCCAAGAAACACAGGCCACUCCAGAAGCUGGAAGAUACAUGGGAUGGAUUCACUCCUAGACUCCAAAAGAAACAGUCCUGGCAGUCCUGCCCGUAGCUUUAGCCUGGUGGCAUCUGAUUCAGACCUCUGACCUCCAGAACUGUAGUGUAAAUUACAUUCUUUUAAGCCAUUAAGUUUGCAGUAACCAGCUACAGCAGCAAAAACAUUACUGGCGUCCCUCUUGGUGAUACGUGCCCACUGUACAGCAGCAGCUUCUCAUCACAGGACCAAGGCUCCAUCGCUCCAGCCUUCAGACCCUUCUCUUCUCUCUUCAGACUCUUCUCUCUGGUUGUACCCAGACUCCAGAGUAGAGCAAGGUGCUUUUAAGAACUCAAGGCACAGACCAGUGAGAUGGCCCAGCAGAUGAGGAAGCUUGUCACCAAGCCUGACACCCUAAAUUCAGUCCCCAGGACCCAUAAGGUGGAAGGGAGAACUGAUUCCCAAAAGCUACCCUCUGACCUCGACACACAAGCUACAUCACACACAUGCCUUCCCCACUAAUAAAUAA